rnacentral:lncRNA from 1 species
UGUCACAAACACUGAGACAGGGACAUUGAAGCUGGGUGAAUAAGGCUUCCCUGAGACCUGCUCCACAUGUGAAGUGUUUCUGCUCUGGAUAUUGAGCCCAUAAUGCAUCUUAGCACAAGUCUGAUCAUAAAAGAAAUGAAUCUGACAGUAGAGGAAAUUCUUCCCAACAGGAUUUCUUUAUUUAACUUGCAGGAAUUUAUACAGCACAAAAAGUCCUCUUACAGCAAGCCAAUAAGUAAAAGUAAAAGAGAUGUUUAGCCAUCAGUAUGUGUACAUUAUUCUAUGCAUUUAGGUUUUAGCAGUACAGAACUGCUGGAUAUGAGACUAGAAUAGAAAUAGUAUGUAAUUUACAGCACAGUGAAGAGAAGGGCAGGUACUGAAGUUUGUGUUAAGGAAUUUCAGAAAAACACAAAAGUUAGUAACUAUGAUUUCAUUUUCCAUUUCUUCAGCACGUGAAUUGUUUGCAGGAGCUGGGCUGUCCCUUACUUUCAUAGUUUUCAUUGUUCGCAUCGAUAUCACUCAAUAUUUUGAAAUUAUGGAUUUGUGAUGUGACAGAGAGGAGGGUAUCAAAUCUACAGCCCUUGAGUGCACAUGUGUGACUCCCAGCGAUGGAAAGAGAACCGGGGCGAGUUGGGGGAAGGUUUACAAUGGGCAAGCGAGAUCCAUCAAACUCAUCCAGAGGCAGGUGCCCCGCCUAGCAGCAGCAUUGCUUCUGGCAGCAGCCCUUCUGCUGGCAACAGCCCUUCCCACAGCCGCAGCCACAUGAGCUGCAGGUGCGGCGGCAGCAGCAGAUCACGGGCGUGCUACAGCAGCCCCCAGCAGCCAGCGGCAGCAGGGGCAGCAGCUGGAGCAGCAGCCCACCCGGUAGCACCUGCAGGUGGUGCAGCUGCCACAGCCACCACCACAGCCACCACCACAGCCAACACAGCCACCACCGCAGCCACCACCACAGCCACCACUGCAGCCACCACUGCAGCCACCGCAGCCACCACAACUUCCACAACCACAGCAACCCAUGGUGUCAGUAGAGAGGACUCAGGGCGGUGCCAGAGAGAGUUUCAGGCUGAAGCUUGUGCAGUUGCAUGGCAGAGGCCGUGGCCCGCAGGGCGAAGGUCAGCACGCAUGUCUGUACGGUAAGUUUCCUCAUCCCUGGGUCCCAAGGCUCUAGUUUCUCAGAUGGACUUAAUACUAAAAAAAGAAGAAAAAAAGAUGGUCAGAAUUUAAAGAAGAUAUUUCUGUAGUUCAAUUGUUCCCAACAAACUGUUUUCAUUUUUCAGUCUACUAGUAUUGUCACUUGGUUCACAAAUCCCUAUAAGCCCUGCCUAUAAAUUCCCCCACAGUAAGGGAUAGUUGACUACAUUUGUGCUAAUUAUUCAGACAACCUAAACCAAGACUCAAAUUCACACCUGGAUUACAGGGAGGUGCCUCCAGCUACUCCUCUGCUGAGGUGAGAUGCAGACGGGUGUCCCCGGUGCACUGCAUGGUGAGUUUUGCCCGUCUCUCCCAGGUGGGCCCCAGCGUGACAUGUUUAGCCCCUGCCACAGGUUCCCCUCCCUGUCCUUCCCUGACUGAGCCCCAGGAACAUUCAGAUGCACUGAUGGGCACCCCUGCACCUCUUGCUCGUAUAUUCCACCCUGACACCUGUGAGCGAGCCCGUGGGUCCUCUCUCCCUGUCUGCCUGGCUGAGACCACUCCCCCGGUGCCGCCUCCUAUGUGACCCCCUCUUGGCACGCGGUGACUCCAUCUCCUUAGGACCUGUGAUUGGAAUACACUGUUUUCCUGAACCUCUCCUUUGUCUCUUCUUUUUAUUUAUUUAUUUAUUUUUUAAAUUUUUGAGAUGGAGUCUCGCUCUGUUGCCCAGGCUGGAGUGCAGUGGCACGAUCUCAGCUCACUGCAAGCUCUGCCUCAUGGGUUCAAGUGAUUCUCCUAUCCCAACUUCCCCGGUAGUUGGGACUACAGGCACAUGCCACCACGCCCAGCUAAUUUUUGUGUAUUUUUUUUUUUAGUUGAGCUGGAGUUUCACCAUAUUGGUCAGGCUGGUCUUAAACUUCUGACCUCAGGUGAUCCGCCCGCCUCGGCCUCACAAAGUGCUACAAUUACAGGCAUGAGCUACCGCGCCCAGCCUCCUUUGCCUCUUCUUGUGGCCAUGCCUGACGGACCAUCUGACUAUCUCAUAAUAUGUGUGUGUGUGUAUAUAUAUAUGCACACACACACGCACAACACAAACCUUACA